rnacentral:lncRNA from 1 species
CUGAGGCUGCGUCCCCUGGGGCUGGGCCCCCCGCGGGGCUCUUUCCUGGACUGACCAAGCCCCGCAGAGCCCCUGCAGUUCCUCUACGCCCACCAGGGGGAGCCCGUCCCCCGCAAAUCUCCCAAUGUGGGCCGUAGGGGCCGCCCUGCCCUUGCCCUUGCAGAGACUCAGGGCGGCCGAGGAUGUGCCCCGGGCCGGGCCGGAGAACAGGUCCCAGGCCCCAGGCGGUGGCUUCUCUCCUGCCUUCCGGACCUGCGCACCCACCAGCCUCCGACAGUCGCCCUCCACCACGGUCCCCCUGUCUUUGUGCUCAGGAUCCCCUUAUCCAUAGAUCGUCCUUAAGGAGUUGUGGAUGGUACCUCAGCAGCAGCAUCCUCCCACUCCCUGCUGCCCGUAGGUGUCUUGAAGGCUCCCUAAUGAAGAAAGUGGAGGCCUGGGAGGGGGGGAGGGUAGAGGAAGACAGGAGGGCAAUGUCAGCAGGUCCUGGGGUCCCAGGGUUCUUCUAUUGUAUAAAACAGUGAGUCAGCUCAAAUGUGAGGCAAGAAGUGCCACAUGGCCAGAGUGCUGGGGGGCAGGAGGGCAUAGGGAGGGUGCCUGGCUUCUGUGCCCACCUGGUCCUCUGCCCACAGCCACUCCUGCCUUGGGCACUCCAGCCUGAGAGGUGUCCUUCCUGAGGAGGGUUCUGUGCCCCCCAGUUCAGACCAACCCCCCUUUCCCUUGCAGCCCUGAGUGUCUCACUUGGACUCUUAAAAGAAAGGUAUCUUUUUUUUUUUUUUUUUAAGAUUUUAUUUUAUUUAUUCAUGAGAGACACAGAGAGAGAGAGGCAGAGACAUAGGCAGAGGGAGAAGCAGGCUCCAUGAAGGGAGCCAGAUGUGGGACUCAAUCCCAGGACUCCAGGAUCACGACCUGAGCCAAAGCCGGAUGCUUAACCACUGAGCCACCCAGGCGUCCCAAGAAAGGUAUCUUUAAGACUGCACUCAGGGGGCACCCGGAUGGCUCAGUCGGUUCAGCGUCUGACUCUUGGUCAUCAUCUCAGGGACACAGGAUGGACUGAGUCCCCUGCACAGCAGGGAGUCUGCUGGAGAUUCUCUCUCCCUCUUCCCAAAACAAACAGGGGGGCCUGGGUGGCUCAGUCGGUGAAGCAUCUGCCUUCGGCUCAGGUAAUGGUCUCAGGGUCCUGGGACCGAGCCCCCCAGUGGGGUCCCUGUUCAGCCAGGAGCCUGCUUCUCCCUCUCCCUGCUGCUCCCCCCACUUGUGCUCUCAAGUAAGUCUUUUAAAAAAAAAUCUUUUUUUUUAAAGACUGCAAUCAGGGGCACCUGAGUAGCUCAGUUGGUUGAGCAUCUGCCUUUGGCUCAGGUCAUGAUCCAGGGGCCCUGGGAUUGAGCCCCAUGUCUGGCUCCCUGCUCAGCAGUCUGCUUCUCCCUCUUCCUCCACUUCUCCCCAUGCUUGUGCUCUCUCUCAAUAAAUAAAUAUUAAAAAAAAAAAAAAAAAAGACUGCAAUCAGGAGGGACAAAGGCAGCCUAGGAUCGCCCAGCUGGUGGCAGAGGUGGGAGCAGGACCCACCUGUUCUGUGCUCAGUGAACAGAUUGCCCCUGGAAGUGGGCCCUGCAGCCUGUUAGCCAGGGCCCCUCCCCAGCACCAACAGCUAGGUCAUCCCUCGCUGACCUCCUAGAGAAUGGGUACCACCUGACUCGGGGGCACACUGGACACUUGCAGGGGGCUUCU